AGCGCAGGCGGUUUGAUAAGUCUGAAGUUAAAGGCUGUGGCUCAACCAUAGUUCGCUUUGGAAACUGUCAAACUUGAGUGCAGAAGGGGAGAGUGGAAUUCCAUGUGUAGCGGUGAAAUGCGUAGAUAUAUGGAAGAACACCAGUGGCGAAGGCGGCUGUCUGGUCUGUAACUGACGCUGAGGCUCGAAAGCAUGGGUAGCAAACA
rnacentral:rRNA from 1 species